rnacentral:rRNA from 1 species
GACGAACGCUGGCGGCGUGCUUAACACAUGCAAGUCGAACGGAAAGGCCCUGCUUUUGUGGGGUGCUCGAGUGGCGAACGGGUGAGUAACACGUGAGUAACCUGCCCUUGACUUUGGGAUAACUUCAGGAAACUUGGGCUAAUACCGGAUAGGAGCUCCUGCUGCAUGGUGGGGGUUGGAAAGUUUCGGCGGUUGGGGAUGGACUCGCGGCUUAUCAGCUUGUUGGUGGGGUAGUGGCUUACCAAGGCUUUGACGGGUAGCCGGCCUGAGAGGGUGACCGGCCACACUGGGACGGAGAUGCGGCACAGACUCCUACGGGAGGCAGCAGUGGAGAAGAGUGUACAAUGGGCGGAAGCCUGAUGCAGCGACGCCGCGUGCGGGAUGAGGUGCUUCGGGUUGGAAACCGAUUUCGUCUGUGACGAAGCGUUAGUGACGGUAAUGGGUAAAGAAGCACCGGCUAACUACGUG